AGUGAACGCUGGCGGUAGGCCUAACACAUGCAAGUCGAACGGCAGCACAGUAAGAGCUUGCUCUUACGGGUGGCGAGUGGCGGACGGGUGAGGAAUACAUCGGAAUCUACUUUUUCGUGGGGGAUAACGUAGGGAAACUUACGCUAAUACCGCAUACGACCUACGGGUGAAAGCAGGGGAUCUUCGGACCUUGCGCGAUUGAAUGAGCCGAUGUCGGAUUAGCUAGUUGGCGGGGUAAAGGCCCACCAAGGCGACGAUCCGUAGCUGGUCUGAGAGGGUGAUCAGCCACACUGGAACUGAGACACGGUCCAGACUCCUACGGGAGGCAGCAGUGGGGAAUAUUGGACAAUGGGCGCAAGCCUGAUCCAGCCAUACCGCGUGGGUGAAGAAGGGCUUCGGGUUGUAAAACCCUUUUGUUGGGAAAGAAAAGCAGCAGGUUAAUACCCCGCUGUUCUGACGGUACCCAAAGAAUAAGCACCGGCUAACUUCGUG
rnacentral:rRNA from 1 species